UACGGAGGGGGCGAGCGUUGUCCGAAGUUACUGGGCGUAAAGCGCGCGUAGGCGGGCUGGCAAGUCCGCUGUGAAAGCCUGCGGCUUAACCGCAGAGGGUCGGUGGAUACUGCCAGUCUUGAAGGUGCUAGGGAGAGAUGGAAUUACCGGUGUAGCGGUGAAAUGCGUAGAGAUCGGUAGGAACACCAGUGGCGAAGGCGGUCUCUUGGAGCACUCUUGACGCUGAGGCGCGAAGCUGGGGAGCGAACGG
rnacentral:rRNA from 1 species